CUGUCAGCCAGCAGGGCAGGACCACCCACUGGGCACCCGCAGCUGGUGCCAAGAGCGAGCACGGGAGGGCUGUUCCUGGACAGGCCUGCCCCUCCUCCUACCCCUGCUCCCCUUGCCAGCAGCUGUAGCAGGACCCUUUGUGACCGACACAACCUCGCCCAGAUGGAAAGUACAAGUAGGUACAGCUACUAGUGAACAGGGUGCAUUCAGAAAGGGAAGAUGAAUUUGAUUUGUUUUUUGAGUAUCCUUUUUUUUCUAUGGAUUUCACAAAAAGCCUGAUGUAAGCGACAUUCAGGGAUAUCACCCUACAAUUCUUACGUGGCUGAAAUGAUCUCUGUGUGGAAAUCUGAUCUGCAGAGAACAGAUUUCUGGUCCCCUCAACAGCGCCUGUCUCGUGCAGGAACCAGCAGACUCUCUGUAGCAUCGCACCCCCCACAGCCAGGCACAUGCCAUAGACACCCAGGCUGGGCGCUUUAGCUGUGCUGCUGUUGCCAUUUGACUCUUUCAGCAGUCAGUUCUGUCAGACAUUAAGCUUUCCUAUGUCUCCUUACAGCCAAUGCCCAUGAACACACAGCACAGGACACAACUGGAUCCCUGUAAUUUCUGUAACAGUUUUAAGUGCCAGAGAUUAAACCAUUCUUCUAACCAGUUCCAAGCGUAGCCUAAACUAAAUGUUCACUAAUCUAAAGCAGAAUGGGGGUAAUCAGCAUGCAUAUCAUUUUAUGCAGGUGAGUGCAUUACGUUAUUUUCCUUCCGUUUCACAUUUUCAGGCUGAAGACAAGGAUUCCGAAUCAUAUUGCAAAUAUAUAUAUAUUUUUUAAAAAGCUUCAGAACUACCCUAACUCUUCUGAGAACCUCAUGGCCAGAAAAAGAUACUCUAAUACCUUAAUGCUUGAAAAGAGCAUUAGGAAGUUAUUGAGAUUAUUAGGAAGUUAUUAAGUUAUUUACAGAGCUCUGCAGCCCACACAGUUAACCAAAUAUUUUAUGUUCAGCAUAAGUGGAAAGAAACAUCAGGUGCAGCACUUCAGGAGUAGACUGAUUAGAAAUUUAAUCCCACAAAAUCUGCCUGUGUACUACUGUAAGACAAUGACUCUUUCCUACACUUUCAGUUCCUAUGUAAGACAUAAGCAUGUUCAUACUGAAGGUUUGUUUAUUCUCCUCCAGCAGCUCAAAAUCGUGCUCAUCUCUGAAGGAUAGGUGUCUCCACUCGUGUUCUGCAGACAUUAUCAUCAUUUUUGCUAAUUCUGAAGAUUGAAAAAAGGGAAAUCAAGUUCCCUAAGUAUUUUCUGAGGCAUAUUUAAAAAUCGAGUAUUUUCACGAAUCAUUUAUGCCUGUCUCUUAUCUUUGGAUUUCCACCCUGUAAAUUCAUAUGCAAAAGAUAGAAACAAUAACAGGUGUGUUAAUUUUUAACUGAAUCUUAUAUAAGCCAGCAAAAAAGCAGCUAGUGCCAGAAGACACAAGGUAGUGUCUUCAGCAUCUUCAUACAAAUGAGUUAGUUUAUUCUGUUUGGCAGUCUUGUGUCUUUCACUUUAUUACUUGAACAGGAUGCUGUGGGAAUUAGAAUCUUCUUACCUACUUCUUACCCUGACUACUUCCUAUUUAUCUGUGGCAGUGGAACGUCUUUCACUUGCACAUUUCCAGUGUGCCCUGCCAUGAAAUAAACAUCUAGCAUGUGGACUUACUCUACUCUACAUAUGAGUGAAAUUUGGCACUAGGGCCAUAAAUACUUAUUCAUGUUGAUGGGUCUUCAAAUUUCAGAGUGUUUCAGAGAGCAUCCCAGUAGGAAGAGAAAACUGAAUAAUUACCUACUUGCCUCGAAAUACUGACAGUCAUUGGCUUAGUAACAGUGUGAUAGUGGCUGUAUGAGGGCCUGCUAGCAAAACAGAUGGACCUGGAUUUUAUUAAUUACCAAAUUGUUAUUAUUCUCCUUUAAAAGUAAUAAUACUAAAAAAAAUUUUAAAAACCUUCCAAAUUGUGUCCAUCACUGAAAUCACACCACCAAGUCAGACACACCCUGAAACAGAAAAUCCAGCGCACAAACAGCAUUGGUCGCUCACACCCAUCUGAACCUGAAUGUCCACAGCAGCAGCACUUAAUUUUGAGCACUUAAAAGCCAUCAGACAAGCAGUGAAAUAACCAAAGCAGAGAGGGGGUAGUUUCCAUUUUGGAAGAGGAAGAGAAGCUAAAUUUUAUACUCACAGGUGACUAGCAGUGUCAUUUCAUAAAACAUCUAACUCAAUAUUAAUAAGCAUUGAUUUAUGAGGUUACAUUAUUUCUUUCAAUCUUACAUCUGAAGAGCGCCCCUAAGCAAUUGCUAGGAUGCUGCUGGAGCACAGAGGUUUUACACCAUUGCUGCACAGGGUUGGCACACGGAGCACAAGACUGGGCUGAGGGCAGCAACAGAAGGUGAGGACUCAGCAAAAACCUGCCACCUCAGCAUCUUUGGAAAAGCCAGGAAGGAGCUACAGAACCUAUCCUGGAGAAAAGGGACAGCCAUUGAAGGCCUUUCUGAAGAGGACCUCACUCCUCCUGAAGGAGGACAGUGAGAAAAGAGAAAAAGGAGUCAAAGAGGCACUUCAGUGGCUACAAGGCAGGAUGAUCUCACUGAAGAAGAGAUGAGUGCAGAGAGGAAGGAGCAAGAUCGAUUUUCUCCCUUCGCUUGUCCCUGGCUUCCCACCAACUGCUGCUACUCAACAACAUACAAAGAUGCCAAACACUGCCUGCAGAAGUGAAAAGGAUGAUGGAGAUGAUGGAGAGAAUCCACUAAAAUAUAUAACAGAUGAUAUAUUGCAAAACACGGUAUAGCUGAGACAGGUGAGACUGCAGGAGUUCUGAUUAAUUCUGCCUCAGCAGAUUCAGAUAAUGCCUGACUGUGUUCCAUAGCAACCCAGAGAGAGAACUGCUGAAGACUUCUAAUACUACGCCUAUGCCAUAAUUAUUUUCAUUUCAACCAAGGGAUGAUCACUACACGUCCUGUAAAAUUAUCACACGCUUUCUAAAUGUCACUUGCAGAGAGGUGAAAUCUACCCCUGUACCACAGAUUCAAACAUUUAAACAGAGAACACCCCACCAGAAAUUAAAGACAUUGAAGAGGCUUAGGUUCUGACUGCGAAAAAGCAAUUGUGAAGGUGAUUACGAUCGGUAUUUCCCAACGUAAAGAAAACUUGUGUUCCCUUGAGUAGACAUCUGCUUUGAAUUCUUUGGCCAGUCACACAGAAGUACCCACUUUUUUCUUUAACAGCAUCUCUUGCUGUGUACCACACAGAAACAGUUGUUCUGUAACAUACUCAUGUCUUUGUAAUAUUUUGUACAAAAUCACACACAGACAAAGGUUAGCAUCUGCGUAAAAUAAAGAAACAUAUAAAGACAAUACAGUCAGUCAUGUUACUGAGCUUAGAAUACUAAAGCUCCAUUCACUAAUACAAGAAUGGCUGUAGGACACCAGGCCAAGCCAAAGGUCUGUGUAGCCCAGUAGAGGUAAUCGGAAGGAAAAGAAUACAAGAAACUGGUAAGGAUAGAUUGAUACGUAAAGAUAACCUGGGCUUCAAGUCUACAUUGUUAUGUUUCCCUGUGAAUUUGCCUGACAAGAACAUGUUUACUGCAUCCAAAGCAUCUCACAAUAGAAAUUCAACAGGGUAAGUUACAACUUGUAUCAUUUCCCCCCCCCUUUGAAUUGUAAACAUGCUGCUAGAUCAUUUUAUUUGCUAGUUUCCAGUUCUUAUGUUAGGAAAAAAAGUGCACAAGCAUUCAUAAACCAUUACCUCAAAACGAUUCAUUCCUGUACGUAUCUUUUAAACACCCUUGCACACAGGCCUUCCCUGUGCUGAAGACUCCCAGCUUACUAAAUACACAAUCACCUCAAAACAGAUUAAGAGUGGCAAUCUCUUGUGGUGAGCCCACCUGCCCACUUCAGAGUUCUGUACAGAGUGCACACUGCCAGCUACUGUGCUGUAAGAGGAAUUAACAUGGGAAAGAAAACUUCUCUUCUUUCACAUCAUUCCCGUUAUGGCUGUCACAGUCAUUUUUCUGUUGACCAUACACUUUAGGACAAGAAACAAAUUUGUGUUGAAAUCUCUCUUGAAGAUGAAAAUAUUGCAUACAGCACCAUCUUGUUAGCAGAUUGAUAUAUUGGUAACUGCAUUUUGCCAUUUUGAGAGAACAACUCCUCCAGCCCAAGAAAUAAAAUGGAAAAAUAUAAUCCUCUCAACAGCAUUCUGCUUGAAGUCUAGUAUCGUUCACUGUACAAUAUAUCUCAGAAUUGUGUGCUUUUAGGGAAGUGUUGUGGUGGGGCUUUUUUGUUUGGUUUGGUUUUUCAAGGAAGGAUAUGCUCCCAAGUGGAUGUAUGAAUGAAUUUCCUGUAGUUUCUGCCAGGUGCACAGAUGGCAGGAGAUUUGGAAAGUGCUCCUGGCACCAAAUGCAUGAUGAUUCUUAUGAAGUAUAGGUUCAGUUGUAAGGAGCAAUGCAUCUGUAUUCAUUGAAAACCCUUUAUGUUCCAUCAUAUUCUCAUGCUUUGUCUUUACCUUAUUAUUCCUUCUCUGCAAGACAAUGAUCACAGAACUUGCUGCUGUUGUGCUAGAGAGAAAAAUGGGACAUUACAUCCCUCAAGGAGUGCAAGUGAACUUUUCUGUCUGAUUCAUGUCUGAUUACAGGAACCACAACUCACAUGUACACCACUGAGAGCAGGACAUAGAAGUUGGUUUAACCUGGAGAGUUACCCCACAGAGACAGGAUAAAGUUACAUAAAGUUUUAACAUAAAUUGAAAGAACUAUUCAGAGCUAUUUUUAUCCAUCUUUUCCUUACAAGACCAAGUAAAGAAAACCUGGACCAACAGACACUUCUUUAGGUUUUUUUAAAAAGCCUCCACUGGCAGAAAAACAAACAAACAAAAAACA